rnacentral:tRNA from 1 species
GCUAUUUUAGUAUAUUUUAGUAUGUUUGACUUGUAAUCAAUUGGAUUAAAUAGCU